GAUUUCAAAAACAUAACCAAUACAAAAUAAAUCACGGUUCACUGUGGAUAUGUUAUCGAUUGGUCGUUGUCAUAACUAACUAACGGUUUGUUGAUAAGUGGAACCUGUUAUCUACUGAAGCAGUUUCUACUGAAGUGCUUUAUCAGGAAGUUUGAAAAAAAGAACGAAAGAUGUUCCGCCCGAAGAAGAUUGCAGUUGUGCUGGCUUUCUUGAGCAUACUUCCGAUAGGAGCAGGAGUCGUGGUGGAAGGCGCGGCAGGUCUGACCUAUUUGGGAUUCACUUCUACCGGCAUUGCUGCAGGCUCCUGUGCGGCUUGGUGGAUGGGUUUUGCAGGCACAGUGCCCAAAGCUGGCGUGUUUGCAUUUUUUCAGUCACUUGGUAUGCAAAAAGAAACGACAUGUUACACAGUCCCUGUGAUAUGUGCAUGCUUGGGCUGCUAAUGUGUAAGAGGAUUUACAGAUUGGACGGAUAACGUGUUUGGAACGAUGAAAUUUAUAACUGAAUGGAAUUUUCUAUUUGUUAUUGUAAUGAAUUGAAAACAUGUGUAUUGGUAAUUUUGAUGAAAGUCACAAAAUCAAUCAUCAUUGGAGUAAAAAAAAUUUUAAAACUGCGGUUUGCUUUUUUUUAAAACUUAUAUUUUAUUAAAUAAUAAAUUUAAAUUGAAAAUAAAACAAAUGCACAAUUUUAACUGUUUGAUUAUUUCCUUCUAUGACCGAUUUGUACAUGUAGUAUAAAGUGCUUUUAUACUUGCUAUUCUGAUAUAAAAUAGAACUUCAUUUUGUU